AAAGGAAUAGACGGGAGCCCGCACAAGCAGUGGAGUAUGUGGAUUAAUUCGACGCAACGCGAAGAACCUUACCGAAGCUUGACAUCCCGGAAAAAGGCUUGUAAAGAGCUAAUGCCCUUCGGGGAAUCCGGAGACAGGUGGUGCAUGGUUGUCGUCAGCUCGUGUCGUGAGAUGUUGGGUUAAGUCCCGCAACGAGCGCAACCCCUAUGAUUAGUUGCCGCAUUAAGUUGGGCACUCUGGUCAGACUGCCGUUGACAAAACGGAGGAAGGUGGGGAUGACGUCAAAUCAUCAUGCCCCUUACGCUUCGGGCCUCACACGUACUACAAUGGCGCAAACAAAGGGAAGCAAGACCGCGAGGUGGAGCAAAUCCCAUAAAAGGCGUCCCAGUUCGGACUGCAGGCUGCAACUCGCCUGCACGAAGUUGGAAUUGCUAGUAAUCGCGGAUCAGAAUGCCGCGGUGAAUACGUUCCCGGGCUUUGUACACACCGCCCGU
rnacentral:rRNA from 1 species